rnacentral:rRNA from 1 species
GAUCCUGGCUCAGGAUGAACGCUGGCGGCGUGCUUAACACAUGCAAGUCGAACGAAGCACUUUAUUUGAUUUCCUUCGGGACUGAUUAUUUUGUGACUGAGUGGCGGACGGGUGAGUAACGCGUGGGUAACCUGCCUUGUACAGGGGGAUAACAGUUGGAAACGGCUGCUAAUACCGCAUAAGCGCACGGCAUCGCAUGAUGCAGUGUGAAAAAACUCCGGUGGUAUAAGAUGGACCCGCGUUGG